ACCAUUUCCAGUCAACUAUUACAGGACAAGGCAACUCUGAGCAAACUGGAUGACUAGGGCUACCAAGGAGCUAACACAUGGGUAAAAGAAGAAACAAGAAAGAACUGAAGUGUGGGAAUCUUUUCAAAUGUUUCACUGCUUGAGGGGCCUUCAGAGUAUAGCAGUUCAAAGAAUGCUUACCUGACAAAUGGAAUCCGAAGUUGGCAGAGGCCUGAAGACAAAGGCUACAAAUACAUCUGGAAAUUUCACUGGUUCUACAUUUAAAAUAUCUUCAGAAUUUAGGAAGUUCUUCAGACAAAAGGAAUAUGAGACCAACCAUAAACUUUGAUACACAUCAAGAAAUGAAGAACAUUAGAACUGGAAUCAAGCAAGGAUUCUGGAAGCUGAGGCCAAGCUAUGACAGGAGGGACUUGCAAGUCUCACGCUUUCUCCAAUCCCUCUCCCUCCUAUUGCAGGAGGUCCCCGCAUACAGCGUGUAAGGAUGCUCUCCCGGAGAAGUCACCCUGGAUGGGCCGGACUGAACCGUGGGUUGCCAUUCUCGUGAGCCUUGACCCCUCUCCUGAAUUCACAAGAGGCAGUGACAGCACUGGGGAAAAGAGGCAAAUACCAUCUAGUGUCCUGAUGGUGACUUUGUGCUUAAUUUAGCAUGGCCCAUUUUCUCAGUUAUGCUGGAGGAUAGCCAGAUGUCAACAUCUUUGGAGAAAAGGGAUGGUGGAUAAUAUAAGCCACUUCAUCAUCCUAAAACUCCACAAAGAAUCUAGAAUCUGCUUGUACCUGAAUCAUGCAUUCUGACCAGGACAAGAAAUCAUUCACAGGGUAAAAUGGAAACUGUCAAGUUCAACAAAGCACAGCUGUCUUGGAAGUUAAUAAAGUCUUAUUGAUGUUCUCCCCCCGCCCUUAAGACAAGAAGGGAUAGUCUGUCAAAUGAGAUCAUUUAUAGUCUCAAAGUUACCCAGGUCACCCUUUCGUUACUAUGCUCAAAAGAUGGUAGCCUAUUCUUAAAGGCACACAAUCUCCAUCUAGCCUCCUAGCAUGUUGCUUUGUUAUUAGUAAUGCCAUUUGUGUUUGAGCUAGGAGGAAAUCCAAUGUCAAAUGAAAGGGGUUUCUCCUUUUCAUGAAUUAGCCUUUCUUUUGCCAUGCCAUCAGAAAAGUGAGGACACUGCUAAUUUCCCAAAUCUUUUCCAGGCUGGCAAUGAAUGAUUCAAGUAAAUCACUGGAUGCCUUUAUCUCUGAGUGACUCAUGCUAUUGAGAGCCAGCUUUAUGGGUUUGAAACCCAGCUAAGUUCUCAGUGCCUCCUUUGUCUUCUUAUAUAGCACAACUAGGUUUAAGGAAACUCAGAAGUUGUUCUUGAAUUAUCCAGCUUGUUAUUAGAUAUAUCCCAUAAAAUUUUAUCUGCUUUCUUGAUUGGCUCUAUUAUGCCUGCAUGAUAUUCUCUUUGCAAUUCUGAAAUAUAAUCUUGACAUAAUGUUGCAAAGUUAGGACUAUGCUAUGGCUCCAUAAGAAAAGCAUGUUUUUUUAAAAUAGGUUAACAAAAAAUGAAUUUGAAUAAAUGUAUUAUUUUUAUUAACCUAUAUAUUUCUUCCUUCAGUAGCUGACUUAUGGAACAUGUUUUGUUUUUAAAAGAAAAAGAGGGGGGGGUGCCUGGGUGGCUCAGUAGUUAAUGCCUCUGCCUUCCACUCCGGUCAUGAUCUCAGGGUCCUGGGAUGGAGCCCCGCAUCGGGCUCUCUGCUCAGCAGGGAGCCUGCUUUCUCCUCUCUCUCUGCCUGCCCCUCUGCCUACUUGUGAUCUCUGUCAAAUAAAUAAAUAAAAUCUUUAAA